AGCUUGGCAAGUGUCCUCAUCAUCGGUACUGCUGACUCUGUCCUCCUGAAGAAUAUCUUGCAGGUGAAGAAAUUCGGCAGCGCUCAGUGGCUCAUCUGCCUGAUCGUCGGUGUCAUCAUCCAGAGCAGAGGACGGCCCAGGCUGGAAUCCCAGAACUUUGAAAAGCCAGUUUUCUUCAUCCUCGAAUUCUGGCAAGUCCAUUGCACUGCAUUCUGCUUCAGAGGUCUUGGGGCUUUGCUUUUCAGACAUAGCUCCGGGAUUCGGCUUCCCUAUCCUCUAAGGGCAUGGAAAAAAACUGGAGUCUGACUUUUCUCUCUGCUGGGGUGA
rnacentral:sRNA from 1 species